GCUCAGAGUCUCACGCUUGUGUGACAGGCACUGAAAGACCCCCGAAGGGAGCCCCCCACUCAAGUCUCGGGAAAGACGCGUACCCAGUAGGACACAGACACCG
rnacentral:pre_miRNA from 14 species